AGAGUUUGAUCCUGGCUCAGGACGAACGCUGGCGGCGUGCUUAACACAUGCAAGUCGAACGGAAAGGCCCUGCUUUUGUGGGGUGCUCGAGUGGCGAACGGGUGAGUAACACGUGAGUAACCUGCCCUUGACUUUGGGAUAACUUCAGGAAACUGGGGCUAAUACCGGAUAGGAGCUCCUGCUGCAUGGUGGGGGUUGGAAAGUUUCGGCGGUUGGGGAUGGACUCGCGGCUUAUCAGCUUGUUGGUGGGGUAGUGGCUUACCAAGGCUUUGACGGGUAGCCGGCCUGAGAGGGUGACCGGCCACAUUGGGACUGAGAUACGGCCCAGACUCCUACGGGAGGCAGCAGUGGGGAAUAUUGCACAAUGGGCGGAAGCCUGAUGCAGCAACGCCGCGUACGGGAUGACGGCCUUCGGGUUGUAAACCGCUUUCGCCUGUGACGAAGCGUGAGUGACGGUAAUGGGUAAAGAAGCACCGGCUAACUACGUGCCAGCAGCCGCGGUAAUAC
rnacentral:rRNA from 1 species